CUUAGUUUCUUACAUUUACUAUUCUAGGGAAUGAAGCAGAGACGAGCCCAUGAAGCAAAAAACAUUGCGCUUACUCAAUCUGCUGCAGAGGCCUUCAGCCAAAUGUCUAAUGAAAAAAAGAGUCUCAAUUCUAAAGUCAAUAUAGAUCGCCUGGAGGAAUUAUUCAAUGAUAUGGAGGAGGAUGAGAUUGGACCAGCGGAUGAUUACUGAAACGUUACAAAGUGCCCUUUCUGCUUUUAUUAUCUGUUGUUUGCAGUUGCUAUUCAGCAUGGCUGGCUGCUGAACAGAAGAUUGCCAGAGACUGAAUUCUUUUUGUAUGCUGAGUUUUUCCUCCUAUUUUCUAUUCACUCAUCGCAUUCAUUUGCCAAAAUUUUGGAAGUCUUUUUACAAGGAAAUUGUUAGGUAGGUUUAUCAGCAUCACUCUCUUUUGACA